rnacentral:lncRNA from 1 species
GUUAAUCUUGCAUUAUUAACCACUCAUCUCUUAAUGCAAAACACUGCAGUGGCCAAAGCCUCAUUACCCAAAAUAAAUGACGUGUUUGACAGUAGGUGACUUAUAUAAAUUAUUACAGUCUUGGGGAAUUAGCCUGACCAUUUGCAUGUUUCUCAUUUAUGAAUUUUCACUUGUUUAAUUACAGAGAACAAGUCUGGGAGGGAGAAUGAGGCUAAUUAGGGGACUGCCGUGGGGCGCGGCUGGUUUCAGACAUCUGCAGACAUCAUGGUAGCAACGAGUGGUGAUAAUGUGAGCUGCAGGUGACAGAAAAUGACUGAAUACAUGAUUUUGCAUGACCUGAUGGCUCUAAACAGCCCUUAGGGCAAAAGCACCAGGGGUGGAUAUGAAGUAAUACAAAUAAUCAAAUUGCUCGGCUUGGACGUCUACAGGGAGUCUGCUGGAGCUGUGGUUUUGCUCGCGGGCCAGAGACCACAUUGCGGGGAGAGCAGCGGGGAACACACCCCAUCGCUCACGUCCCUAUCAGUUACUCGGCCUUGCAGGUCAACGGCCACGAAACUAUUUCAACCUCUGGCGCGAAUAUAUCACGACGUCAGACCCGUCUGGCCCCCUGGAGAAACGGCGAUUUAUGAGCAGAGCGGUUGGGUCGUUGGGCAAUAUGGCAGCUGCGAGGGGCUGUUAAAAUUGGUGACCGUGGCUUCAACAUGUGACAGUCCUUGGGGGGGGGGUGCAUUUGGACUCUUAUGCCUCCAGAGUAAUUCAUUGAGCGUCCCUCCCAACUUUCCUCGAGUGCUUUCCCUCCAACUGCCAUUCGAAGGGAAACCCAACGGAGGAUGCCGUACCAGAUAAAGGCUGCUAAUGCACCGAGUGUGUGGGUGAUUUUGUCAAGCUGAGUGUUUUCUCUCUCCUUUCAGUUUUAAUAUGAGUGUGACAGAAAGGACUCUUUUUUUGUCACCAUGCCUGGAAGUCCAGAUUCUUCUCGUGAAACUGCACCUUUGAAGCACACAUUUGUUUUCUUGGCUGGAAAUGCAGUGAAGCUUCCAGUAAAGUGUUAAUACUGUGAAGACGCGGACUUGAAGCUUUGAACAUCAACACACAGCAUUGUGGGGGGGGUCACAUCCCCCGUGUCUCGCUCACAUUGGGACAUUACAGACCCCCUCAACGUAUAAAGCAUCUGUUUCUUUUUGUCUUCUCAUCACCGGCCUAUUAGAUCUUUCACUGACUCCUUGCCAGGCAAGGACGCAACGUGGAGGUUCUCCAUCGCCUUGCUCAAGUGCUGAUGCGUUAGGUGUUGACACGCAGCAGAGUCAAGCGGCGUUCCCGGUUCCUUGGUGUUUACAUUGGCCUGGCUGAGCGAGUGUAAAUACUGCAAGUGUCCGCUCGCCGACCGAGCAUUUUCUUCUCCGUUCUGUAUUUCAUGUCGUAACACUCACUUGUUGUAACAAUAGCCAGUGUUUUUUUUUUCUUAAAUCAUCAUAAUUGUUUGUUAGGUCAGCGAUCGAGUGCAAAUUCUGCAAACUGCAGUUCCAGCAGUUCGUAGUGACCAUGGAGCUGGGCUCUCAUACAAAGGGACACGCUAGUGUGCUGGGAGGCCUAACGGGAAUUGACAGAUUUUCACCAAUGACAUUGGAAAGGGCAUUUUUUGGAAGCUCCGAGC